UGAGCAAUCUGCCCUUCUCAUCGGAAUAAGCGUUGGAAACGACGUCUAAUGCCGAAUACGACCUCCUUUCGCAUGAUCGGAGGUGGAAAGCUCCGGCGGAGAAGGAUGAGCUCGCGGCCUAUCAGCUAGUUGGUGUGGGUAAUGGCCCACCAAGGCGACGACGGGUAGCCGGCCUGAGAGGGUGACCGGCGACACUGGGACUGAGACACGGCCCAGACUCCUACGGGAGCAG
rnacentral:rRNA from 1 species